rnacentral:rRNA from 1 species
UGAAGAGUUUGAUCAUGGCUCAGAUUGAACGCUGGCGGCAGGCCUAACACAUGCAAGUCGAACGGUAACAGGAAGCAGCUUGCUGCUUCGCUGACGAGUGGCGGACGGGUGAGUAAUGUCUGGGAAACUGCCUGAUGGAGGGGGAUAACUACUGGAAACGGUGGCUAAUACCGCAUAACGUCGCAAGACCAAAGAGGGGGACCUUCGGGCCUCUUGCCAUCAGAUGUGCCCAGAU